rnacentral:rRNA from 1 species
AAUAGUUUAUUAAAUGUAAACUGGGAUGAAUGAAGUGAUGAAAUCUAUACUGUCUUAAAUUAAAAUAUUAAAUUUAUUAAUUAAGUAAAAAUACUUAAAUAAAAAUAUGGGACGAGAAGACCCUAUAGAAUUUUAUAUGAAUUUGUUAAGUAAAUUAAUAGUAAAUUAUUUUGAUAAAUUUAUAUUUUGUUGGGAGGAUAAUUAAAUUAGAAAAACUUUAAUAAAAUUAUUAAGUCAUUAAUUUAUGAAAUAAUGUGGAAUGGCAUUUAUGUUUGACUAGAAUUAAUUACCUUAGGGAUAACAGCGUAAUAUCUUUAGAGAGAUCUUAUUGAUAAAGAUGAUUGU